rnacentral:rRNA from 1 species
GACGAACGCUGGCGGCGUGCCUAAUACAUGCAAGUUGAGCGCUGAAGGUUGGUACUUGUACCAACUGGAUGAGCAGCGAACGGGUGAGUAACGCGUGGGGAAUCUGCCUUUGAGCGGGGGACAACAUUUGGAAACGAAUGCUAAUACCGCAUAAAAACUUUAAACACAAGUUUUAAGUUUGAAAGAUGCAAUUACAUCACACAAAGAUGAUCCCGCGUUGUAUUAGCUAGUUGGUGAGGUAAAGGCUCACCAAGGCGAUGAUACAUAGCCGACCUGAGAGGGUGAUCGGCCACAUUGGGACUGAGACACGGCCCAAACUCCUACGGGAGGCAGCAGUAGGGAAUCUUCGGCAAUGGACGAAAGUCUGACCGAGCAACGCCGCGUGAGUGAAGAAGGUUUUCGGAUCGUAAAACUCUGUUGGUAGAGAAGAACGUUGGUGAGAGUGGAAAGCUCAUCAAGUGACGGUAACUACCCAGAAGGGGACGGCUAACUACGUG